GACGAACGCUGGCGGCGUGCCUAAUACAUGCAAGUAGGACGCAGUUGCGAACGGGUGAGUAACGCGUAGGUAACUACCUAUUAGAGGGGGAUAACUAUUGGACACGAUAGCUCAUCCCGCAUACUAGUAGAUGUACCUUCGUUGUAUUAGCUAGUAGGUAGGGUAAUGGCCUACCUAGGCAACGGUACAUAGCCGAACUGGGAGGGUGAUCGGCCAAAAGGGGACUGAGAAAAGGCACAGACUCCCACGGGAGGCAGCAGUAGGGAAGCUUCGGCAAUGGGGGGAACACUGACCAAGCAAUGCGGCGUGAGUGAAGAAGGUGUUCGGAUCGUAAAGCUCUGUUGGUAAGGAAGCGGUACUUAACCAGAAAGGGACGGCUAACUACGUGCCAGCAGCCGCGGUAAUUC
rnacentral:rRNA from 1 species